rnacentral:lncRNA from 1 species
CAAAGUUGGCUGUACGAAACAACAUGGAUGACAUGGUGAAUAUAUAGUAUAUAUCACCAAAGCAAUUCAAACUAUACGACUAAGGAGAGUAUAGGAAAAUUUUUCAAGAUACCCUGUCGUGUUUCUUUGCAUAAAUUGACCAUAAUACUCUUGUCAGAUGGUAGUGGUUACUGUCAGACCUGCCUUAACGUUGAGGAAAUUUCCAAGCCAUGUA